rnacentral:rRNA from 1 species
AGAGUUUGAUCAUGGCUCAGAACGAACGCUGGCGGCGUGCUUAACACAUGCAAGUCGCGUGCGCAGUUUCCGUAGCAAUACGGGGAUGGGCGCACGGCGCACGGGUGCGUAACACGUGGGCAAUCUGCCCUCCGAUGGGGAAUAACCCCGCGAAAGCGGGGCUAAUACCGCAUAACAUUCCUUGAGCGAUGGUUCGAGGAUUCAAAGCAAGUAAUGCGUCGGAGGAGGAGCCCGCGCCCGAUUAGCUAGUUGGCGAGGUAACGGCUCACCAAGGCAAUGAUCGGUAGCUGGUCUGAGAGGAUGAUCAGCCACACUGGAACUGAGACACGGUCCAGACUCCUACGGGAGGCAGCAGUGGGGAAUCUUGCACAAUGGGCGAAAGCCUGAUGCAGCGACGCCGCGUGGGGGAUGAAGCUUCUCGGAGUGUAAACCCCUUUCGCCUGGGACGAAUGCCCGCAAGGGAGUGACGGUACCAGGAUAAGAAGCCCCGGCUAACUACGUGCCAGCAGCCGCGGUAAGACGUAGGGGGCCAGCGUUGUUCGGAAUUACUGGGUGUAAAGGGUUCGUAGGCGGUGCGGCAAGUUGGGAGUGAAAUCUCUGGGCUCAACUCAGAGGCUGCUUCCAAAACUGCUGUGCUUGAGUGCGAGAGAGGCUCGUGGAAUUGCAGGUGUAGCGGUGAAAUGCGUAGAUAUCUGCAGGAACACCCGUGGCGAAAGCGGCGAGCUGGAUCACUACUGAC